UAAUUUCUUUAUCAGCCAUUAUAAAUGCAGAUACCGGGAAAUGCCUGAUAUUGGUCGAUAAUAUCGGCCAGCCAAUAUAUCGGUAGGGCUCUAGUAUGGAACAGCGGUU